rnacentral:ncRNA from 22 species
GUUACCACGUACGUUCCUAUGGGUUCGAGUGAGAGGAGGUAACUAAUGAGCCUUAUCAUAGAGCUCGCUCUUUCUAUUAUAGCGGAGAUGUUAUAGCUGGAAUUAUCUUGUAUUUCGUCUGCAUGGCGAUAGAUAGUAAGGAGUAGACCGACUGACUAGCCUAUAAACACCCGUUAAAUCUAAGAUACGUCAAAAAAAAGCCCUACUACGGCCAUAGUUAGGGGCUUUUUGGUGUUCUAAU